GACGAACGCUGGCGGCGUGCUUAACACAUGCAAGUCGAACGAAGUGGCGAACGGGUGAGUAACGUGUAAUCAACCUGCCCUUCAGUGGGGGUCAACAGUUGGAAACGACUGCUAAUACCGCAUACUGAUUGCCGGGAUUGCGUGCGAUUAGCUAGUCGGAGGGGUAACGGCCCACCAAGGUGAUGAUCAGUAGCCGGGCUGAGAGGAUGAUCAGCCACACUGGAACGGAGACACGGUCCAGACUCCUACGGGAGGCAGCAGUGGGGAAUAUUGGACAAUGGGCGCAAGCCUGAUGCAGCCAUGCCGCGUGGGUGAAGAAGGCCUUCGGGUUGUAAAGCCCUUUUGGUGGGAAACGGUACCCAAAGAAUAAGCACCGGCUAACUUCGUGCCAGCAGCCGCGGUAAUAC
rnacentral:rRNA from 1 species